CCUACGGGAGGCUUCAGUGAGGAAUAUUGGUCAAUGGGCGGAAGCCUGAACCAGCCAAGUAGCGUGCGGGAUGAAGGCCCUACGGGUCGUAAACCGCUUUUGCACGGGGAUAACACCCUCCACUUGUGGAGGUCUGCAGGUACCGUGCGAAUAAGGGCCGGCUAAUUCCGCGCCAGCAGCCGCGGUAAUACGGAAGGCCCGAGCGUUAUCCGGAUUCAUUGGGCUUAAAGGGAGCGUAGGCGGGCGUUCAAGUCAGCUGUAAAAUCGCGCGGCUCAACCGCGCCCCGCAGUUGAAACUGGCUUGCUAGAGUGGGCGAGAAGUAUGCGGAAUGCGUGGUGUAGCGGUGAAAUGCAUAGAUAUCAGGAGGAACACCGGCGGCGAAGGCGGCCUGCUGGACCGCGACUGACGUUGAGGCUCGAAAGCGUGGGGAGCGAACAGGAUUAGAUACCCCUGUAGUC
rnacentral:rRNA from 1 species